GAGAAAGUGACAUUUGUACCAGACCUUGGAGGAUGAGGUCAGUAGGCAGAGAGGGGCUGAUGGCUAUUCCUAACAAAGAAUGCAACUCCAUCAAAAAAUAUAUGGAAGUCUAAGAUCUGGUUGGGCAAGUAUGAGCAGUGGUGUGGAGCUCAGCACAGGAGACUGAGAGGGGCCAGAAAGCCAUUUUUGAAGCACCUUGAGAGCCAUUGAAACUCCUGAGGCAGCUGUGGCCUUGGGUGCCCUGCAUAAGUGAUCUUUGACAGCUGGUCAUUAAGCUCCUGUUCAUCCUGAAUGCCUCUGGGCAGAUUCCCUCCAUUCAGACCUCCCCCUGUCCAGGAGGCCUGCCUUGGUCACCCUCCUCCCUUCUCCCCACGUGAGAAGAGAAGCUAUUUGGUUAAGUUGUCUUCUCUGAGACCUGUCAGGAAGAGGAAACACAUUAACCCCAGCAAGACAGCGUGGCGCUUUUCCAAAAUGCUUUGAUUCUUCUACACAAAUGGGAUUAGAACAAAUAAAUUUUGGGAAGCAAGCUUCUACCAUUAUGUAAAUUUAAUUUCUCUUAUUUUGUCCCUUAUGUUUUAGAUUGCUGUAUUUUAUAGGAGCUGAGUCUGAGACAUUUUAAAAACUCUUAGAGAACAGGCAUCCAUUCCAUCUGCUUUAUUGAGUCCAUACAGUGUGCCAAGCAGGGGACAGAAGACCAGUCAGAGUCUGAGGAGGAACCCAGGUAGCUAAGAGAAGAAAUAGAUGAGUCAUUUUUUAUCUAUGAUAAUUCUAAGAGGUGAAGGGGACAGAGGCCAGCAGAGAACACAGAUGCAGCCGUGGUAAAGACGUUCAUCUGGUCACCCGCACCACCAGGCCCCUCUCUGGCCCCAGCUUCCUGGGCACAGAAUGUUGGGUCCCUUCCCAAGAGCUCUGCGUGUCCUUCAUCACUGGCUGUUCAUUGGAUGCCAGCAUAGCUACAGGACAGCCAGUCUCUGUAAAGCCCAGAGUCCUGGGGAGGUGGACUGUGCAAUGGAGCCUAAGUGGUUCUUCAUGGGGCCGGUCGGAAAGACAGCACAUACAACCAGGGACAAAUUGGUCACUGUGCUCAGUGGAGCAGGCAGACAACAGCAGGUGAGCACAGGAGGCCCCACUGAACGUAGUAGGUCAGUUUGAGGGAAGGUAAAGGUCCGUG
rnacentral:lncRNA from 1 species